rnacentral:rRNA from 1 species
AGAGUUUGAUCCUGGCUCAGGGUGAACGUUGGCGGCGCGUCUAAUACAUGCAAGUCGAGUGGGUUUAGACCCACGGCGGACGGCUGAGUAACACGUUGGUAGCUGCCCCCCAUUCAGGGAUAACCUUUCGAAAGAAAGAUUAAUACCGGAUAGUCCCGCAAGGGUAAAGAUUUAUCGAUGGGGGAGGCGCCUGCGUCCUAUCAGCUAGUUGGUGAGGUAAUGGCUCACCAAGGCUAUGACGGGUAGCUGGUCUGAGAGGAUGACCAGCCAGAGGGAAACUGAGACACGGUUCCCACUCCUACGGGAGGCAGCAGUAAAGAAUCUUCCGCAAUGGACGAAAGUCUGACGGAGCGACGCCGCGUGCAGGAUGAAGGCCUUCGGGUUGUAAACUGCUUUUCUGAAAGAAUAAUUCUGAAUGUAUUUCAGGAAUAAGUACCGGCAAAUCUCGUGCCAGCAGCCGCGGUAAUACGAGAGGUACAAACGUUACCCGGAAUCAUUGGGCGUAAAGCGUCCGCAGGUGGUUUGAUAAGUUGGAUAUUAAAUCUUGAGGCUCAACUUCAAGGCUGUGUCCAAAACUAUCUCACUAGAGAUUAGGAGAGGUGAGCGGAAUUCUGCAUGUAGGGGUAAAAUCCGUAGAUAUGCAGAGGAACACCAAAAGCGAAGGCAGCUCACUGGCCUAUAUCUGACACUCAUGGACGAAAGCGUAGGUAGCAAACGGGAUUAGAUACCCCGGUAGUCUACGCCGUAAA